rnacentral:lncRNA from 1 species
GGCCGCCUUCUUCCUCCCCAGUCGUACAGACUGGGCACAACAACAAUCACCCCGUGAUUGUGGGGCCUGUCCUUGAUGAGUCACCUUGCCCACAGCAAACCUUUUGGGGUGAUGUUAUCGGCCCUGAUGCUUACUUAAUUCCCUGGUUGACAUCACCACCGCCCUGUCUCCUUCUCGGCACUGCAGCCCGCGGGCUGGCACAUCCUGGAAGGGAAGGCGGUGAAGGUCUCUUGCCAGAAGCUACAAGAGCGGUUUUCUCAUGAAGACACACUGAGGUGUUUCCACAUCCGUGCCCUCUUCUAGACUGUACACCCUUUGAGGGUAAGGCCUGGGCCUGGCUUCUCUCCCUAGCCUCACACCUGGCCCGGAGAGGGCCCAGUGCCAGCGCCCAGCAAACAAGCCUGUGGAGAGACAGCACGUCCUCCUGAGUCAUCAGAUUUCACGGGGCUGAGCCGAAGCCCUGCUUGUCAGCAUGUUGCUCACUGAUGGGAAAAGCUUUCCUGUGGUCUAGACACUCCUGACUCCAGUCUAAAGAGACCUUCUAAAGAAGGUCAGUGUGUCCAGUGGAAGGAGAUGGGGCUUUCCCUCCCUGAGCUCACAGACCUACCUGCUGGGAAGACAGCUUCACGGGUUCUAUUUUUUCCUGGAUGUUCCCACCUGCUGACUUCCCCAGAUGUGACAGGAUACACAGAGAGCUGUGUCCAGCAGGGAUCCUGGGCCCCAAGCAGUCUGGCCCUGGGCUCCCACACUGCUGGGCUCUGCACUGCUCGCUCACUGGCUUGUUUCAUCCCUUAUCCUGUGUGCAGGGGCUCACGGUGUAGUGGUUACAAAACCCGUGAGCUCUGGAACCGGACAGACCUGAGUGGGCAUCAGAGCUUCCAUUCUUCCUCGAGAAGCUCUCUGGGCUUCAGUUUUUUCAUCUGUAAAAUGAGCACAGUCAUAGUAUCUCCCCAGGAGCUCAGCUGUGACGAUGAACUAGGGUGCCAGGACCCGACCGUCCCAUCCUCGCCCAGCGCCAGAGUCUGCCUGCCAGACCCUUGUCAGCGGUUACAACCAGCAGCUGCCUCCCGCUGCCCGAGUUUUAUCAAAAGCUCAGUUGAGAGAAAUAAAGUUCAUGGGGGUUAUUUAAAGGCCAUG